UUUUUUUUAAGAAAWAAAAUUAAUCUUUUAGUUAAAAAGCUGAAAUUUUAUUAUAGGACGAGAAGACCCUAUAGAACUUUACUUUAUAUAAUAUAUGACUCUUUUGUAAAUUACUUUUUAUAUAUUAUUUAUAGUUUUGUUGGGGUGACAGAAAAAAUAAAAUAACUUUUUCUAUUUAUCUCAUUUAUAUAUGAUUUUUUGAUCCUUUAUUAUGGAAGUAAGAUUAAGUUACCUUAGGGAUAACAGCGUUAUUAUUUCAGAGAGUUCAUAUUGAUGAAAUAGUUUGCGACCUCGAUGUUGGAUUAAAAUAAGUAUCAGAGGCAGAAUAUUGAUUACUAA
rnacentral:rRNA from 1 species